rnacentral:lncRNA from 1 species
UGUUCCUCCAUUUCGAUCACCUGCCCCUGGCCUUCUGUCUGCCGGCCACCGCUCGGACCGCAACUGCGUGCGGUUGGUGCUCUCGACUCCGAAAGAUACUUAGUCCGCUUGAGAGGCGAACAAGCAGGGCGGGGGCACAGAAAGUGCACUUGGCGUGACGGAAACUUACACUUGUGCCUAAAGAACUUGGAGAAAAGUGCCCACGACGGUUGUGGAAAGUUGGAAAAUUCCAGUAACAGGAAUAAGGAGUAUCGUCUUGAGUCGGGGCAUGGGGGGUUGGUUGCCGUAUAUUCAGCUGCCCAGCUCAGGUGCUACCUCAUUCUCUCUGCUGCUACCAAACUAUGGGAAAAGGCACAAAGGCAACAGGAUUUGAAAGUAACUGACUUCCUUUGUAAUUUUAAAUGUUUUAUUCUACGCAUUAAAAGACUUAUUCCAAGAAUGGUGCAUAGGUUUCCACAGAUCACCAAAGGAGUCCUCAGUAGAAAAGCGGUUUAAAAUCUGCAUGCUUGGGAGAAAAGACUCCGUGACCCCAGAAACGGGGGGGGGGGGGGAAUGGGAAGGAAGAUUCAGAAGGAAGAGCUACAAAAUUGGGUGGAGGGGAGGAAAGAGAUGGAUUCUGGGGGCUGGUCCCCACUAAGGACAGUUUGUCUGGACCUCCCCUCCCAACAUUUUGUCUUUCAAAGCAGCCUCUCUUCCAACUGGCUGAUUCUGGGAAAUUCUAGCAUUUUCUACUAGGUGUACUAGGCAUACACUAUGUUCCCUCUACCAGGACCAGAUCCAGCGCCUUACAGUUGGCCUUUUGCUAAUCCUCUCUUUUAUGGCCCUAGGAGAGUCUGUAGGCAAGGCAAAACUUUAUUUCUACCCUCUUGGGGACUCCAAAUGGGUCUGAGAAUUAUGUUGACAUAAGCAGAUUAAUAGGAGAAAAGCACACUGAUAUUUACAUAUACAAUGGGAAGGUCCAACAGGAAAAUGAAAAUUCAAAGAAGUGAGUAGGCCUACGUGUUUCUGUACUAGGUUGAACAAAGGAGAGCAAAAUAUAUGGCAAGAUUAAAGGGAGACACGAGUUAUUUUAACAAGGUCUUUCCAUGUUUCUCUGGGUCCUGACUUCCUGUCUCAGAUGACAAGAAUGUUUCUUUCCUUCUGGUCUGGGGAGAGCACCUUUCACAUGAGUUUUCUCUCCUGCUUUCAGGAAGGAAUGGGGAGGUCAGAGUGCUUAUCUUGCACCUGCUGUUUCCCAAGUGCCUUUGGCUCAAAAUACUCCUUAUGUUGAAGUGGCAGAUUUGGGAAUGGCAUAUCCUGCCACUCUUCAAGUUAAAGCAUGGGAAUAUGCUCAGAGAAAAGGAUACUUAGCCCAGAUCUCCUUCCGGUGCUGUGGGGUCACCAUGCUGACAGUGAGUCCAGCAGUCUCAGAUCAUUCUUAUUAUUUGUUAAUAAAGUAAAAAGAAAACCCUUGGGCUAGGUCA